rnacentral:rRNA from 1 species
AUUGAACGCUGGCGGCAUGCCUUACACAUGCAAGUCGAACGGUAACAGAUCUUCGGAUGCUGACGAGUGGCGAACGGGUGAGUAAUACAUCGGAACGUGCCUAGUAGUGGGGGAUAACUACUCGAAAGAGUGGCUAAUACCGCAUGAGAUCUACGGAUGAAAGCAGGGGAUCGCAAGACCUUGUGCUACUAGAGCGGCCGAUGGCAGAUUAGGUAGUUGGUGGGAUAAAAGCUUACCAAGCCGACGAUCUGUAGCUGGUCUGAGAGGACGAUCAGCCCCACUGGGACUGAGACACGGCCCAGACUCCGACGGGAGGCAGCAGUGGGGAAUUUUGGACAAUGGGCGCAAGCCUGAUCCAGCAAUGCCGCGUGCAGGAUGAAGGCCUUCGGGUUGUAAACUGCUUUUGUACGGAACGAAAAGCCCUGGGUUAAUACCCUGGGGUCAUGACGGUACCGUAAGAAUAAGCACCGGCUAACUACGUGCCAGCAGCCGCGGUAAAAC